rnacentral:rRNA from 1 species
UCCAGACUCCUACGGGAGGCAGCAGUGGGGGAUAUUGCACAAUGGGGGGAACCCUGAUGCAGCGACGCCGCGUGGGUGAAGGAGCGUUUCGGCGCGUAAAGCCCUAUCGGCAGGGAAGAAGGAGGACGGUACCUGACUAAGAAGCCCCGGCUAACUACGUGCCAGCAGCCGCGGUAAUACGUAGGGGGCAAGCGUUAUCCGGAUUUACUGGGUGUAAAGGGGGCGCAGACGGCAGCGCAAGCCAGGAGUGAAAGCCCGGGGCCCAACCCCGGGACUGCUCUUGGAACUGCGCGGCUGGAGUGCAGGAGGGGCAGGCGGAAUUCCUGGUGUAGCGGUGAAAUGCGUAGAUAUCAGGAGGAACACCGGUGGCGAAGGCGGCCUGCUGGGCUGCGACUGACGUUGAGGCCCGAAAGCGUGGGGAGCAAACAGGAUUAGAUACCCCAGUA